CAUGACAUUGACCUUCUGAAGAACCUAGGCUAGUAAUUUAUGAAUGUAAUUAUGAAUAGAUUUCUGUUUCCUCAUGAUGUUCAGUUUUUCCUCUGUCCUGGUAAUCCUCUGCCCUGGCUGCACAUUGGAACCACCUGUCUUGAUUAAUUGGCAGUACAAGGAAGGGGGAUUCAUUGGCCACUCUGUUCUCAUUGGAAUUACUUAAAUCAAAUUUAAAGCCUAGAAAAGAGAACACCGAUGUCUGUGUUCCACUCUAAACCAAUUAAAUUAGAAUCGCUGGAGUUGAAGCUCAGGUGAUCCUGGUUUCAAAAUUCUCUAGGUGAUUCUGGUAAGUAAUCAGCACUAAGAACUGCUGCUCUAUCCUGUGGAUCCUUUAUAUUGAAGUUAGACUCAGGCUAUACAUUUUUUGUCUGGAAUACUUUGCAUAUUGCAAUCACCUUGGAAGCUUUAAAAAAUACUGAUACAUGGGGGUCCACCCCAGAUAUCCUGAUAUAGUUGGUCUGGCGGCAUGGCCUAGGCUUUGGGAGUUUUGAAAUCUGCUCAGGUGAUUUUAAUGCAGCCAGGAAGACCCACUGCUUUAGAUUAUUUUCUUGUUUAAUUUGCAUCCUAUCAGGAGGCACACAAUGUCACACUAUUCCAUUAUUUGUGAUGCCAGUUUCAAUCACUGGCUUAAGGUGGUCACAUCAGACCUCUGCAUCACCUCUUCAUCGCAAAUGUACUAGUGCUCCUGUUCCCAGAGGUAAGUGGUCUCUGAGAUGAUACCUUGGUGCUGCUAACAAGUUUUAAUCCAAUGGUUUUAGCUUCCACUGGUGAUUGUUACCUCUAUCAAGUAUUACGUGGAGGGUGAGUAUAAAUGGUGAUCUAAUCUUGUCUUUCCUUCUGUAACAGAGUAUGGCUGAGUGCAGCCCUAAGUCUGCAGCCCUUGCUGCGGUGCCACUACGCCGCAUCCAACUCUGGUUACCAUUGGACCUGUGGGGGCCCUGCUCAGUGAUUGGUCGACGCUGCAAUGGGCCCCACCCACAAGCAACCAACUGUCAAAGAGAGACCUUUUAGUGGUCCUGCUCAAUCAUUGGUCAGCACAGCAGUGAGCCCCGCCCACAAGCAACCAGCUGUCAAGGAGGGACUGUUAGUUGAGAGGAUUCAGCCAACCGAAUCAGGCAGUGGAGUGGUGGUCGUCAGGCAGAGAGUGAGUAAUCACUGAGUGAACUGAAAUUGGACAACAUCAUAAUUGCUGUUUCUGUCACUGAGGAGAACAAAUUCUGAGGUGGACGUCAUCUCUCACGGAGCGAGCCUUCAGUUAUACCCUGAUGCAAAGGGUGAUUGUUUGGGCCUGUGGUAACACAUCCCUUACUCUGCUGACAUGAGCAUGGAGACAUGGACAUCCUCACACGGGCCAGAUGCAGCUGAAGGCCCAGUACAAGAAAAUAUGGCUGGUGUGAUGGACAAACUCAGCUGCAUUUCUCUUCUGAUCUCUUUCCUGGCCUGUUUAUAUAAAUGUAUUGUCACGGAUCAUGUGACCCUGUGCUAGAGAGAGAGGCUUAUCUAGAGCCUGGCUCUGGAGACUUUCUAGGUGACUCGUGUGCUGGGGAUUUGUUUGGCACGGGCUGUUUGAUGCCCUGGGUCAGCUGGUUGUGCCUUAGGCAGGAUCGUAGGGGACAUCAGAUCUGGCAGGACCUUGAGAAGGGUCUAGGGAAAAUGUCCAGAGGUGGGGGGAAGCUGCUGAGAGCCUGGAAGCACUCUCUGAAACUCACUGAAGGGGAAUGUGGGUCAUGCGGUGUUGUAAAGUUUGGGGAGAGCUCAGUCAAAUGUCAUUUGUCCAAAAACUUCAGAGUUGAGUUUUUCUGGAUAUUUUCUUUGUGAUGGCUAAGGGUUUAUCUUUUAAAUUACCAAACAUUGUGUUUAACUAUGUGAAGUCAGAAUUUCUCGAAAAGCUUUGGCAUACCCAGCAUCCCCUGGAGACUCCUUCCUUACUCUUGGUUCCAACUGGAUAGCCUUGAAGGGCUCCAUGGAACACACAGAAAUCAGUAGAAGAGAUUGUUUCUAAGCAUCAAAGGUUCUAAGUUAUGACUGUAAUCCCAAAUUAUAAAUACCUCUGGGAGGGUUACCCUGUAAGCACUUACCAGACCUUUCUAUUAUGAAAACAGGGGGAAAAAAGGGCUCCUUUCCAGAACACCCAGGGGGAAUCCUUGGAGCAGGAGCCUUGGGGGUGACAGUGAGGAUCCAAAGGAAAGUGAAGAAAUUCCUUUGGUUACUUCAAGAUGUAGGGUCCUUCCAAACCCUUUCCUUGCCAGAAGGGGUUGAUGAAAUUCACCAGAUAUACCACACCUUUCUUAUCUCUGCUUGGAAAAGGACCUGUUUUUUUUUUUCCUUCAUAACUUUCUUUACAUGGACAUGUUCCAUCAAUUCACCCAUUUAAAGUAUAUGACUCAGUAGCUUUUAUUGUAUUCAGAGUUGAACAAUCAUUACAAUUUUAGAAUAUUUUUGGUAGCCUCAAAAGAAAUCGUGUUCCCCUGAGCUACCACCCCCGAAUCCCACCAUCCCUCACCCUUCCCCUCUAUCAGCAACAACUUACCUACUUUCUGUCUCUGUAGAUUUACCUAUUCCGGACACUUUGUAUAAAUGGAAUCAAUACAAUAUGUGAUCCUUUGUGACUGUAUUCUUUCAGUUAAUGUUUUGCAUAAUAUUUUCAAGUUUCAUCCACAAUGUAGCAUGUAAGACCUUCAGUCCUUUUAAUGGCCAACUAAUACACCAAUGUAUAGAGAUACCACACUUUAUUAAUUCAUUUACCAGUGAACAUUUGGGUUAUUUCUACUUCUUGGCUAUUAUGAAUAAUACUACUAUAAGCAUCCAUGUAUACAUUUUCAUGUAGAUAUCCAUAUUUUCAUUUCUCUUGGAUAUGUAGUCUACCUAGCAGUGGAAUUGCUGGAUCAUAUGCUAACUCUAUGUUUAACUGUUGAUUCAGGGCUACUUAUAUAGUCCUACUUGUUGGAGAUAUUCCUUCGUGCUUCAAUACUCUGAUUCCAUUUUACUUUUAUUUUUUUUUAAAUUUUUAUUACUUUUAAUAAAUGUAGCAAUUACUGAAAUUUAUUAACAUAUUGACUGUAUUCAAACAUGUGCUACUGUUAUUAAUACUGCAUAUUCUUAAGUUAAAUAUAGCUCUUGUAUUAAUAUUCCAGACAAUAGUAAAGUGCUGUUUCCUUACUUGCUAACUUAAUAAUGUGAAAACAAAUCCUCUACUCUUCUAUUUUAUAGAUGGGGAAAAACAUCUUUUUCUUACAUUCUGGGAAUCAUGGAUUAAGUCAAUGAGAGAAUUAACACGUUGUAGUCUCAGAUUUCAGACUUUUCUCUAGAAUUUUACUGCGUGUUAGGCACCAUCCUGCAAUAAUGUCUGAACAUAAUUAACUUAAUACUACCUUCUAACAGUUAGCAUUGCCAAGAUGUUGAUUUUUAUUGGUUUGGCU
ensembl:lncRNA